AUUGAACGCUGGCGGCGAUGCUUAACACAUGCAAGUCGAACGGUAACAGGGUCUAGGCUUGCUAGAUGCUGACGAGUGGCGGACGGGUGAGUAACGCGUGGGAAUCUGCCUUCUAGUGGGGGAUAGCCCCGGAGAAAUCCGGAUUAAUACCGCAUACGCCCUACGGGGAAAGCCGGGGAGUCUUCGGACCUGGCGCUAGUAGAUGAGCCCGCGUGAGAUUAGCUUGUUGGUGGGGUAAUGGCCUACCAAGGCAACGAUCUCUAGCUGGUCUGAGAGGACGAUCAGCCACACUGGGACUGAGACACGGCCCAGACUCCUACGGGAGGCAGCAGUGGGGAAUAUUGGACAAUGGGCGAAAGCCUGAUCCAGCAAUGCCGCGUGUGUGAAGAAGGCCUGAGGGUUGUAAAGCACUUUCAAUCGUGAAGAAAAGUACACAGGCUAAUACCCUGUGACCUUGACGUUAACG
rnacentral:rRNA from 1 species